rnacentral:rRNA from 1 species
CAAUAGCGUAUAUUAAUGUUGUUGCAGUUAAAAAGCUCGUAGUUGGAUUUCUGGUGGGAGCGGCCGGUCCGCCGUACGGUGUGUACUUGGUUGUCUCCUGUCAUCCUUGUGGGAACUGCUCUGGCAUUAAGUUGUCGGGGUUAGGGAACACAUCGUUUACUGUGAAAAAAUUAGAGUGUUUAAAGCAGGCUUAUGCCGUUGAAUACAUUAGCAUGGAAUAAUAAGAUAGGACUUUGGCGUCUAUUUUGUUGGUUUGCACACCAAGGUAAUGAUUAAUAGGGAUAGUUGGGGGUAUUCGUAUUUAAUUGUCAGAGGUGAAAUUCUUGGAUUUAUGAAAGACGAACUUCUGCGAAAGCAUUUACCAAAGAUGUUUUCAUUAA